CUGACUGUGCUAAGGUAGCAUAAUCAUUUGUUAUCUAAAUGAUAACUAGUAUGAAUGGUCUGACGAGAAAAUAACUUUCUAAAAAGAAAAGAUAAAAAUUUAUUUUAAAGUAAAAAAGCUUUAUAACUUUAGAAAGACGAGAAGACCCUAGAACCUUUUCUAUCUAUAUAGUUUGUUGGGGUGACAUUAUUCAAAACAAAUAACUAUUAAAACUUAUUAACUGACUCUGUCUAUCUUUAUUAAAAAAAAAAAAGGUACUCUAGGGAUAACAGCAUAAUCUUCUUCUAGAGCCCUUAUCGACAAGAAAGAUUUUGACCUCGAUGUUGAAUUGAUAUUUCUUUCUAAAG
rnacentral:rRNA from 1 species